rnacentral:lncRNA from 1 species
CUCAAUCCUCCAACAACUCGGUUCUCUCUCUCUCUCAAUUUCAGAAACGCCUAACUCUCAAAAUCAGACGUCGCUCAACUUCUCUCUCUCUCUCGCUCCGUCUUCAGUCGACGCUCCGCCGCAAACGGCUCCGGCGAGGCCGCGCGGGCUGGGGGCCGAUUCUGACCGCUUCCCCUCCCCCUCUUCACGAAUUCCUUUCUCCAAAAUCGACAAAGACCACGAAGCCCUAGCUUUUUCUUUUCUGAAAUCGAUUCCGCCCUGUUUCUGUAAAUCCGACGACCGCUAGUCGUCGUCCUCCCUCUAAACUUGGUGAUUUACUAUCACCGUUCGUCCGUCUCGGCCUCAAAUCCGUGUUCGAGAAGAAGAGAGUGGAAGGACGAGCCCUAAUUCUUCGAGAGAGACAAUACCGCCGCCGCUACAAAAAGAAGGUCGGCGUCUUGAAUCCGCCGCUGUACUCGUGACGACGUCCGCUGAUCGUCAGGCCGAUGAGGGUGCCGAUUCUCCAUUGUUUUUCUGGAAAUUGGUGAGCUCGCCGCGGUUUCGGUCCGAUGCGCCGCCGUGCUGUGUCCGGAAUCGACGAAGUUCGCCGUCUAUCUACUGACUUGAUGGGAACAGGGCAGUCGACCCUUCCCUCCUAAAAAGCUAAGUUUUCUACUCUCAUUUUUCUUCUACUUCAAUUUCUAGUUGUUAAGGGUGGGGGUUCUCAUGAUUUUCUGUUCUAGGGUCCAGAGUAUAACAAUGUAUGAAUCAUAGACUUGCUGUGAAAUGCUAUCGAUCGUGUAUGCAUAUGUGAUUUGCUAUAUCCCUCUGUAAUAUACUUCAUCCUAUAUUUUGAACUUCUUUUACAUGAAGCGAGGGAAGUGAAAUUCAUAUANNNNNNNN